GCUCCCAUGGUGUAGUCCGGCCAAUCAUUCGAGCUUUUCGAGCUCGGGACACGGGUUCAAAUCCCGUUGGGAGCG
rnacentral:tRNA from 1 species